GACGAACGCUGGCGGCGUGCUUAACACAUGCAAGUCGAACGGUAAGGCCCCUUCGGGGGGUACACGAGUGGCGAACGGGUGAGUAACACGUGAGCAACCUGCCCUUGACUCUGGAAUAACAGUUGGAAACAGCUGCUAAUACUGGAUAUUUACUUGUCCCUUCCUGGGGGUGAGUGGAAAGCUCCGGCGGUCAGGGAUGGGCUCGCGGCCUAUCAGCUUGUUGGUGAGGUAAUGGCNCACCAAGGCUUCGACGGGUAGCCGGCCUGAGAGGGCGACCGGCCACACUGGGACUGAGAUACGGCCCAGACUCCUACGGGAGGCAGCAGUGGGGAAUAUUGCACAAUGGGCGCAAGCCUGAUGCAGC
rnacentral:rRNA from 1 species